rnacentral:tmRNA from 1 species
GGGGCUGACCGGUUUUGACAGCAAGAUGGAUGUUUAUGUAAGCAUGCCGAGCCUUGCGAUGACGCUCGUAAAUCUUGAUCGCAAACAACAAUUGGCGAAACUAACUACGCUCUCGCUGCGUAAUCGAAGUUUAGUAGAUUACUGCUUCAUUCCGAUACAAGGUAUCGGAACGAGACAUCCCGCAGGUGGAAAUGCCUGAUACCGGCCUGAUCACGGGGUGCUAAUCAAUUUCGGGAUAGCUUUUCAGAAGCUUCGACUGUAAAGUAAAAUAAAGAAGAUAAGAUAGGGUUUAGGGUGUCUGCUCCCUUGCACUAUUCGAAAACCAAUAGCAGAAUAAGCAUGUAGAAAGCCUACGUAUUCCUUGUUUGGACCAGGGUUCGACUCCCUGCAGCUCCACAA